UUGAACGCUAGCGGGAUGCCUUACACAUGCAAGUCGAACGGCAGCACGGACUUCGGUCUGGUGGCGAGUGGCGAACGGGUGAGUAAUGUAUCGGAACGUGCCUAGUAGCGGGGGAUAACUACGCGAAAGCGUAGCUAAUACCGCAUACGCCCUACGGGGGAAAGCAGGGGAUCGCAAGACCUUGCACUAUUAGAGCGGCCGAUAUCGGAUUAGCUAGUUGGUGGGGUAACGGCUCACCAAGGCGACGAUCCGUAGCUGGUUUGAGAGGACGACCAGCCACACUGGGACUGAGACACGGCCCAGACUCCUACGGGAGGCAGCAGUGGGGAAUUUUGGACAAUGGGGGAAACCCUGAUCCAGCCAUCCCGCGUGUGCGAUGAAGGCCUUCGGGUUGUAAAGCACUUUUGGCAGGAAAGAAACGUCAUGGGCUAAUACCCCGUGAAACUGACGGUACCUGCAGAAUAAGCACCGGCUAACUACGU
rnacentral:rRNA from 1 species